AGCGGGCACCAGGCUUGGGGGCUGAGGCCCAGCGGCCCGAGACCAACUGGGCUGACCGAGGCCGCCUCCCCGCCAGCCCUGGGGUCCACUGCCCGGGGAGCAGCUCCCUUCCCAGGUCAGACUCGGGCUUCAUCCUCUCUUGCCGCGCGCCGAGCGGUUUUCAACUCUCACUGCUAGAAUUCCUCCAACCACCCAGGAUAGCAGGACCGAGAUACAUGGCCACCCAUGACCCGGAGCGUCCACUUCCAGGGACAGGCAGUGGUGAUUGGCUUCGGUUGUCAUCUGUGCCAUCUGUCCAUGGUUCGAGAAGCUGCUGUUCACGUUUUGGGGAGGAUCAUGGUUUGAGGGCUCCCGUGGUAGAAUUUGGGGAGCUCUCAUAGGCAGAAGGCUGAGAAAAGUUGGUGCUGUGGGAAGUCAACUGGCAGCCGAUGGAGUCGGGACCCGGGAGGAAUGGAAAGGGAACCCAGAUAGGAAGCUACUGCAGUAGGCUCAGAGAGGUGAUGACGGCAGGGCUAAGACAGCGGCCUUGGGCGGUGACUGGGAAGAACGUUGAACACCGUGUUUGGGCUGAAGAAAAGAGCAAGGGAAGAGUCCUUCAGCGGGGUCUGCACACCUGAUGGCCUGGAAUUGGGCUGGCCCUCGGCAAUCCUGCCCACCCUGUGGGCAAGUAAAAAUUAUACAGUGAAACACAUUCAUCUUGAGUACAAAUCAGUGGGUUAUGACAAAUGUCUGCAUCUGUGCCUAAGCAGUACCCUGAGGAGGACACUGAACGUUUCCAUCAUCCAAAAAGUUCCCCAUGCUGUUUGCCAUUCGCCCUCACCCUCCGGCCCCAGCAAGCCCUGUUGAGUCUCAUCGGAGUUCCUUCCUCCACCAAGGGAUAGAAACUCACCUGAUUGCUGCAUGCAGACACUGACACUCCCGACCCCUCAUUCGUCACAAUUGAUGCCUUACUCCUGCCUGAUUGCUGUCUUCCUGCUCAUAAUUAAAUUCCUUCCCCCCGCUAUAUAAUGCCUCCGGCUUUAGUCAGCUGGAGAGAGGGAUUUGAGACUGAUCUCCUGUUCUCUUGGGCUGAUGUCAACCAUAAUAUAAUAAAGUUUUCUUCCCCG
ensembl:lncRNA LINC02175 long intergenic non-protein coding RNA 2175